rnacentral:rRNA from 1 species
AGCUCCAAUAGCGUAUAUUAAAGUUGUUGCAGUUAAAAGCUCGUAGUUGGAUUUCUGGUCUGUGUCCCGGGUCGGCCCGAUAGGGUCUGUACUAGGAGACGCUGGCCAUCCUGUGAGCAACCUUUUCUGCUAUUAAGUUAGUGGGGAAGUGAGCUCACUCGUUUACUGUGAACAAAUUAGAGUGUUUAAAGCAGGCAAUUGCCUUGAAUACAUUAGCAUGGAAUAAUAAG